GUGGGGAGGAGAGAGGGACAGAGAGCCUGCUUCUUUAAAGGAGCAAAGCGGGAGAGGAGCCGCUUACACGAGUGUAAGCGGCUCCUGUCCAGUUGGUUCCUUUAAAGCAAGCAGGCUUUCUGUCCCUCUCUCCUCUCCAC
rnacentral:miRNA from 1 species